GUCUUCUUGAUUAUAUAGGAAGUCUGACCUGCCCGGUGAAUAAGUAUUUAACGGCCGCGGUAUUUUGACCGUGCAAAGGUAGCAUAAUCAUUAGUCUUUUAAUAGAGGGCUGGAAUGAAGGGUUUGACGAAAUGCUUACUGUCUCAUUUAAUUUGGAAUUUGAAUUUGACUUUUUAGUUAAAAGGCUAAAUUGUUAUUGGAAGACGAGAAGACCCUAUAGAGCUUUAUAUUUUAAAAUUUAAAAAGUUUUUGAAUAAUUAUUAUUUUUUAAAUGGAAAAAUAUUUUGUUGGGGUGACAAAAAUAUAUAACAAACUUUUUUAUAAAAAUAACAUUGAUAUAUGAUUAUUAGAUCCAUUAUUAUUGAUUGUUAGAGAAAGUUACCUUAGGGAUAACAGCGUAAUCUUCCUCCAGAGUUCAAAUUUACAGGAAGGCUUGCGACCUCGAUGUUGGAUUAAGAUAAUAAUUAGGUGCAGCUGCUUAAUUAAUAGGUCUGUUCGACCUUUAAUUUCUU
rnacentral:rRNA from 1 species